rnacentral:lncRNA from 1 species
GUCCCCGAGCUCUUCACCUCGGACAAGAGGGAAGAGACGCAGGACCCAAGCCAGCCCUCUGAAUUACCAAGCCUCAAACACACACCGUACACCAGCCUGGGCUACAAGCAAAGAGGAGGGACCCACAGCCGCCUUUUCGGACCGAAGAAAAGCUCCUUAAACUCACCGUGAGGACGGGAAACAGGCAACUCCACUAGCAGCAACAGGGUUGCACGGCCACCGGACGGUGCUGAGGGCUGCUUGGCGUCCCCGCCCUCCUCUGCCCUGAGGCCUUCAGGUGCUCAGAAGAGGCGGAGCUCAGGCGCCUUAAGGCGGGUGCAGCUCCGGAGCUGCCGAGGCGCGCCGCAGGGGUUGCUUCAGUUGGCGGGGCCGCUUCUGGCUGCCGUGAGUCUGUUCUGGAGUCCCUCUUGGGCCCUCUGGAUGGCGUCCGGGGAGAGGCGGGGCCUGGCGGAGGCCUAUGAUUUCUACAAAAGAUUCUUAGAACUACUUUUGUUUUUUAUUUUAACGUGGAGCCAAGUCGGCAUGUGCUAAUUCUAGACUUUAAAGCGCAGCGUCUUCCGUCGUGACUUCAUUGGUUCCCAGCACCCUGAGGCGUCCUGAGCGCACACAGCACCCCAGUGAGCGAGCGCCAUCCUCGCCUGAGCCCGGCUUUGCUUUUGUUUACAGCGUCUGGAGAGACAAACCCAUCAGAAUACUUGUUCCCGCAUAGGAGAGGGCUUCUGAUGACUGAGAAUUCUCUUGUACUUAAAGAGAACUAACUCUGAGGGGUAGUGGGACCUCAAGACUCAUUUAGGACCGUUUCCCUCCAUCUCGUCCUACUACUACUCUCGCCUCCGCCGCGUCUCCACGAUACGAAAUUGUUGUCUGGAGAUGACUAUUGCACAGAAUUCCUGAUUUCCAAUUUAAUUUCUCCGCCAAAUUCCUAUUUCACCUUAACCCCUAGAAUUACAAAACAAACAGUUCAGUCAUUUCUCUUAAGAAACUUAAUCCAGCUAUAUCUCAAGAUACGCUCUCAUCACACUACCCUCUAAUAUAUAGUUGGAAGUUAUUUACUGUAGUAAAUAAACUGUGGACCUCAGUAUACUGUGUAUUGCUAGUACUUUCAGAUCUUAGGCUCUUCUACAGUAAAUUACAGAAAAAUAUUAAACAAUAAAAUUUAGUAUCAGUGAGUCCCGAGUCAAUCUCAGAUGUCUUCACCAGUUUAACUACUGAAAGGGUUACUUACGUCGUGUGAAUUCCAGUGCUAUCCAAGCUAUCCGUUGUUACACAGUGACAUAUAUCCAUUUAGA